AUACGUAGGUGGCGAGCGUUGUCCGGAUUUACUGGGUAUAAAGGGCGCGUAGGCGGGCUAUCAAGUCAGAUGUGAAAUACCGGGGCUUAACUCCGGAGCUGCAUUUGAAACUGACAGUCUUGAGUAUCGGAGAGGAAAGCGGAAUUCCUAGUGUAGCGGUGAAAUGCGUAGAUAUUAGGAGGAACACCAGUGGCGAAGGCGGCUUUCUGGACGACAACUGACGCUGAGGCGCGAAAGUGUGGGGAGCAAACAGGAUUAGAUACCCUGGUAGUCCACACCGUAAACGAUGGAUACUAGGUGUAGGAGGUAUCGACCCCUUCUGUGCCGGAGUUAACACAAUAAGUAUCCCACCUGGGGAGUACGGCCGCAAGGCUGAAACUCAAAGGAAUUGACGGGG
rnacentral:rRNA from 1 species